ACGUUAUUGAUGGCUAACUGAACCGGACCGUCAUUUAACAAUUGUUAGCUUGGUUGCCGUCACCGGCAUUUCUUUUAUAAAUAACUAGUUAAGUUGUCCAAAGUAAUUUAACGUUAAUAUUAUACCAUUAUACCAUUCACAGCGUUAUUCAUAGCUUUCUCAUCUUUUUUAACAGGGACCAAGGAACAAAUGGAGGCGUUCAUACGUCUCCGUGUAGAAAAGCAGCUGUUUACCGGGGGGAGAGACACCGCGGCAAACGGAUAUCGGCGUAUUUAGAUACAGAGUGUCGCACAAAAUCAUGUUGGAGGAGAUGACAGACGAAAAAGACAAAGUCAUAGAGGUUUGGAACAACAUGAGGGUGAGUAAAUGUCAGAAUUUUAUGUAUUUUAGGGUUGAAAUAUCCCUUUAACUAGACCAUGUUAUUGUCAGCUGAGAACUACAGCUCUUUUUAGUAUUCUUGGACACUGCUGCUGUUCUCUUUGGUUUCCCAAUCGUACAAGAAGUCAGACAUUGUCUGGAUCUCUUCCCGUGGCAUAACAAAGAGAGGUAGACAGCAGUCACACGGAGGAACCUGUGGUUACACUCCGCUCCGAUACGACUAGAAGUUUUAAGUGGCACAGAUGGCGUCAUUUACGUACAAUCACCUUGUCCGUCGUACUGUGUUCUUCUUGUUUGCACUCAAUAAUUUCUCUCUCCCGCAGUAAAGUAGGUUACUUUAGUAAUUCACCAGUGGUUUUCAUCCCCUUUGUCCCCUUUCUCUGACUUGGCCCUGGAGAGUGAACAGAACUUUGUAAGAAAAUCGAUAGUAAUUGAUUCCUCCAAGGCUAGACAUAGAGGGCCACUAUUCAGAGCCAAGCAUAGGAGCAUCAGAGUGAGAGGCAGAGGACCUUGGGUUUAACAUGCACACAACAAACCCUGCUAAAGGUCACCAAUGUGAUGCUGUUUACAGCUGCAGAUUAUCAAAAAGAGCCCGAGCAACUGCAUAUUUACAGACUUGUGGAGAUGAGCCUCAAUUACAGGGAUGCUGGCUGUUUUCUAAAGGUUAUUUGAAGGCGUACUUUUGAGAUUUUUGAUUGGAGUGUAUUGUGUGCCUGUGAAAAGUUUACAGGCUCUCUUUUUGCUUUUUCACUACUGCAUUUUUCACCUGUCACUGAAGGUAAGGUGAAAGUGAAAACAGAUUUCUCUAAACUAAAGAGAAGAGAGGGCUGAACUUGAUUUUGAUUUCUAAAAGUGGGCGUCACACGUCAAAAUCGAGCCAGACUGGAGUUGUAGUUGAUUGUUGUGAAGAAAAAGAUUUGGACACAGAAGUCGAAGGUCAAGAGCAACUCGACAUAUUACCAAUUGUAAUGCUUCUUUUCUUUUUUUUCUUUGUUUUAAAUCUAUUUGUUAUGAUUGUUGAUAG